AAAUUGAAGAGUUUGAUCAUGGCUCAGAUUGAACGCUGGCGGCAGGCCUAACACAUGCAAGUCGAACGGUAACAGGAAGCAGCUUGCUGUUUCGCUGACGAGUGGCGGACGGGUGAGUAAUGUCUGGGAAACUGCCUGAUGGAGGGGGAUAACUACUGGAAACGGUAGCUAAUACCGCAUAACGUCGCAAGACCAAAGAGGGGGACCUUCGGGCCUCUUGCCAUCGGAUGUGCCCAGAUGGGAUUAGCUAGUAGGUGGGGUAACGGCUCACCUAGGCGACGAUCCCUAGCUGGUCUGAGAGGAUGACCAGCCACACUGGAACUGAGACACGGUCCAGACUCCUACGGGAGGCAGCAGUGGGGAAUAUUGCACAAUGGGCGCAAGCCUGAUGCAGCCAUGCCGCGUGUAUGAAGAAGGCCU
rnacentral:rRNA from 1 species